rnacentral:rRNA from 1 species
AUGCAGUCGAACGGAAAGGCCUCCAGCUUGCUGGGGGUACUCGAGUGGCGAACGGGUGAGUAACACGUGGGUGAUCUGCCCUGCACUUCGGGAUAAGCCUGGGAAACUGGGUCUAAUACCGGAUAGGACCCUCCUUUAGUGUGGGGGGUGGAAAGUUUUUUCGGUGCAGGAUGAGCCCGCGGCCUAUCAGCUUGUUGGUGGGGUAAUGGCCUACCAAGGCGUCGACGGGUAGCCGGCCUGAGAGGGUGGACGGCCACAUUGGGACUGAGAUACGGCCCAGACUCCUACGGGAGGCAGCAGUGGGGAAUAUUGCACAAUGGGCGCAAGCCUGAUGCAGCGACGCCGCGUGGGGGAUGACGGCCUUCGGGUUGUAAACCUCUUUCGACAGGGACGAAGCUUUUUGUGACGGUACCUGUAUAAGAAGCACCGGCUAACUACGUGCCAGCAGCCGCGGUAAUACGUAGGGUGCGAGCGUUGUCCGGAAUUACUGGGCGUAAAGAGCUCGUAGGUGGUUUGUCGCGUCGUCUGUGAAAUUCCGGGGCUUAACUCCGGGCGUGCAGGCGAUACGGGCAAUACUUGAGUGCUGUAGGGGAGACUGGAAUUCCUGGUGUAGCGGUGAAAUGCGCAGAUAUCAGGAGGAACACCAAUGGCGAAAGCAGGUCUCUGGGCAGUAACUGACGCUGAGGAGCGAAAGCAUGGGUAGCGAACAGGAUUAGAUACCCUGGUAGUCCAUGCCGUAAACGGUGGGCGCUAGGUGUAGGGGUCUUCCACGACUUCUGUGCCGUAGCUAACGCAUUAA